rnacentral:rRNA from 1 species
CGAAGGGUGCUAGCGUUGUUCGGAAUCACUGGGCGUAAGGCGCGCGUAGGCGGCUUAGCAAGUCAGAGGUGAAAUGCCAGGGCUCAACCCUGGAACUGCCUUUGAAACUGCUAAGCUAGAGUGUCGGAGGGGAUAGCGGAAUUGCUAAUGUAGAGGUGAAAUUCGUAGAUAUUAGCAGGAACACCGGUGGCGAAGGCGGCUAUCUGGACGACAACUGACGCUUAGGCGCGAAAGCGCGGGGAUCAAACAGGAUUAGAUACCCUGGUAGUCCGCGCUGUAAACGAUGGAUGCUAGCCGUUGGGGGGUUACCCCUCAGUGGCGUAGCUAACGCGUUAAGCAUCCCGCCUGGGGAGUACGGUCGCAAGAUUA